rnacentral:rRNA from 1 species
GAUGAACGCUGGCGGCGUGCCUAAUACAUGCAAGUCGAGCGAAUGGAUUAAGAGCUUGCUCUUAUGAAGUUAGCGGCGGACGGGUGAGUAACACGUGGGUAACCUGCCCAUAAGACUGGGAUAACUCCGGGAAACCGGGGCUAAUACCGGAUAACAUUUUGAACCGCCUGGUUCGAAAUUGAAAGGCGGCUUCGGCUGUCACUUAUGGAUGGACCCGAGUCGAAUUAGCUAGUUGGUGAGGUAACGGCUCACCAAGGCAACGAUGCGUAGCCGACCUGAGAGGGUGAUCGGCCACACUGGGACUGAGACACGGCCCAGACUCCUACGGGAGGCAGCAGUAGGGAAUCUUUCGCAAUGGACGAAAGUCUGACGGAGCAACGCCGCGUGAGUGAUGAAGGCUUUCGGGUCGUAAAACUCUGUUGUUAGGGAAGAACAAGUGCUAGUUGAAUAAGCUGGCACCUUGACGGUACCUAACCAGAAAGCCACGGCUAACUACGUGCCAGCCGCCGCCGUAA